AUACGUAGGUGGCAAGCGUUAUCCGGAUUUACUGGGUGUAAAGGGCGUGUAGGCGGGUCUGUAAGUCAGAUGUGAAAUUCCCGGGCUUAACUCGGGAGGGUCAUCUGAAACUACGGAUCUUGAGUACUGGAGAGGAUAGUGGAAUUCCUAGUGUAGCGGUAAAAUGCGUAGAUAUUAGGAGGAACACCAGUGGCGAAGGCGGCUAUCUGGACAGUAACUGACACUGAGGCACGAAAGCGUGGGGAGC
rnacentral:rRNA from 1 species